GAGGAUUAUACUGUCUCCCCCCCUAAAUCAAUGAAACUGAUCCCCCCGUGAAGAAGCGGGGAUAAAUAUAUAAGACGAGAAGACCCUAUGGAGCUUUAAACUCAACACCACUUACCUCAACUGAUCCCCUUACAAACAGGUAAAGAUCGUGUAUGUUUUCAGUUGGGGUGACUGCGGAGCAAAAUAAAACCUCCACGAUGAAAAAUAACCUCUAAUCCAAGAACAACAUUUCAAAGAAUCAACAAAUUGACAUCAAUUGACCCAAAUAAUAAUUUGAUCAACGAACCAAGUUACCCUAGGGAUAACAGCGCAAUCCAUUUCAAGAGCUCAUAUCGACAAAUG
rnacentral:rRNA from 1 species